GAUGAACGCUGGCGGCGUGCCUAAUACAUGCAAGUCGAGCGAACAGACGAGGAGCUUGCUCCUUUGACGUUAGCGGCGGACGGGUGAGUAACACGUAGGUAACCUACCUAUAAGACUGGGAUAACUUCGGGAAACCGGAGCUAAUACCGGAUAAUAUUUCGAACCGCAUGGUUCGAUAGUGAAAGAUGGCUUUGCUAUCACUUAUAGAUGGACCUGCGCCGUAUUAGCUAGUUGGUAAGGUAACGGCUUACCAAGGCAACGAUACGUAGCCGACCUGAGAGGGUGAUCGGCCACACUGGAACUGAGACACGGUCCAGACUCCUACGGGAGGCAGCAGUAGGGAAUCUUCCGCAAUGGGCGAAAGCCUGACGGAGCAACGCCGCGUGAGAGAUGAAGGUCUUCGGAUCGUAAAACUCUGUUAUUAGGGAAGAACAAACGUGUAAGUAACUGUGCACGUCUUGACGGUACCUAAUCAGAAAGCCACGGCUAACUACGUG
rnacentral:rRNA from 1 species